CGCUCAAGAAUCGGGCCGGCUGGUGGUCUACGCGGAGAUCCCUGAGGACGUGCUGAAGAACCCCCGCCACCACGAUCUGCCGGAGGUCUCUAUUCAGCGUCCGCAGGGUUUGAUGGACGACC
rnacentral:misc_RNA from 1 species